AACUGAAUUGACUCCACAGUGUCGAACUUAAUUAAAAUCCUACAAAACACAACAAUUAGUUGUUUUUCAUGUUACACAUUUUGUGUUUGUUGGAUCUCCAUCUUAUCUCGCUUAAAGAACCCACCUAUAGUUUUUAAUGGGCAUUUCCUUUAUUGAUUUUGGCUGAUUCUGUAUCGAAUUUUGAUCAAUUCAGUGGCGGGAGUUCGGAGUUUUCGAUCUGUAAGUGCUUAAAAUGCCAUAAAAAUCUGAUACUGCGCUUAAUUUUGAUAUAAAAGAGAAGGGUGUUCGCUAUUUUUGUUGUGUUGGAUGGCUUGUUUAUGACUGUUGAAGGAUUACAGAGUUUGUCGUUUGAUUUUUGAGGAUUUAUUAAAGCCGAAUUCCCGCUAAAGAGAUUCAAGUUAAUUAGUUUAGUUUAAAGUUUAUAGAGGUAAUCGAUUAAGAGAGGGUGAAGAAUGGAACCCUUAUGUGAGUUUUGUGGGGUGGUCAGAGCUGUGGUUUAUUGUAAAUCAGACUCCGCAAGGCUUUGUUUGCAAUGCGAUGGGUGUGUACACUCUGCGAAUUUGUUGUCGCGCAGGCAUCCUCGUUCACUGUUAUGUGAUAAAUGUAAUUGUCAGCCCGCAGUGGCCCGGUGUAUGGACGAGAAAUUGUCUAUUUGUCAAGCGUGUGAUUGGAAUGGCAAUGGUUGCUCAAGUUUGGGGCACAGGUGUCAGGCAUUGGAGUGUUACACAGGGUGUCCUUCUUUGGCUGAGUUUAGAAGCAUUUGGUCUUCUGUUCUUGAUAUUCCUAAUUCGGGUAAUUCUGGGAUUAGUUGGGGGCCCCUUGAUUCCUUGCCACCAACUGACAAUUGUGGGAAUGAUUGUUUGGAGCAAAGAGAUAAUGAGGGGUCAUUUGAUUUGGAGACAAGCAAGUUGAAUGAAUUGGAGCCUUGGAUGCUGAAUUCUUCUAUGAUUCCACCACCGAAUCCAAAUUACAUGCCUUAUUGUAGUGAUCAAGCAGCUUUUUUCUCUGAGGAGUCCAAUGAGCCAAAGGGUUCUGACUUAAAAGAUCUUAAACUUCCAGAUGGUGAUGAUCUCUGUAAAGUCCUUAACAUGGAUGAUGUUCAGUUAGAUUUCGAAGCUGGUGAUGAGAUAUUUGGCUGUUCACAGGGUCAAUCUAGAUACCAAUUUGAAGAUGUAGGGACUGAUCGCACAUUAAUGGAGAAAAACUUAUCAGUUACCGAAUCUGACGGUCCCAUUGAGAAUGCUUUAGAGUUUUUUCAGGCAUCAUCAGCAGGGCAACGGGACUCCAUGCCCUUUCAAUCCUCUUGUGUUGGUGGGACUGCCAGCAUAAUGCAGUCCAUGGUUGGUAAUUCCAUUUGCAUAUUCCCUAAUACUAGUUGCAGCAGAAACAUCAAUCUUGGAUUUCCUGCUGGUCAAGUUCAUUCAAGCAUGUCGCUUUCAUUAUCCAACAUCACUGGUGAAAGUAAUGCAGCUGAUUAUCAAGAUUGUGGAUUGUCACCUGUGUUUCUACCUGGUGAAUCUCUGUGGGAACCAAAUCUAGAAGCUAGCUCCCCACAAGCAAGGGAUAAAGCAAAAAUGAGAUACAACGAGAAAAAGAAAACACGAACGUUUGGUAAACAAAUAAGAUAUGCCUCAAGAAAAGCCAGAGCUGAUACUAGAAAACGUGUGAAAGGUAGAUUUGUGAAGGCAGGUGAAGCAUACGACUAUGAUCCUCUUGUGACGAGAAACUUUUGAGCCACCAAAUCUGUCUAUUAGUUCGUAAGACAAGGAUAAAUUGAUAAGGUAUACUAUUCUUCUCUAACAUGUAUGGGGGUAAUUCUAAAUAGCUGAUUCAACAUUCCAUCUUCCUGAGGUAUUGGAAUGCGAGUCAUGUGACCAUUUGUAUUCGUAAUCCAGACAAAUUCCCUGUGAAUUUCUGUGGUCAUCUGCAAAUAUUAAGAGGGCAGGAUAAUUGGGAUUCUUGUGAUGGUGACUUAGCGUGUCUUUUUGCGCCAUAAAAAGAACAUCUAACAACAAUAUGACAUCGCCAGCUCAACUUCUGAAAUUGCUCUGCGUAUUUUCGCAUGUACUAUUUUAAACAGACGAAAGUUCUCACCACACAACCCUCUUUCUGAUGUGAUUCAAUAUUUGUCA